GUCAACAUGCCCAGGGGACGUGGACAACCUCGGGAAACUGAGGAUAAACCGCGAUAAGUCACUACUUCUGGAAUGGGUAAUGACUCAAAUCUACAUGGCCCCUGGAUUGGACUGCGGCCGAUCAGGCUGUUGGUGAGGUAAUGGCCCACCAAACCUGUAACCGGUACGGGCUCUGAGAGGAGGAGCCCGGAGAUGGGCACUGAGACAAGGGCCCAGGCCCUAUGGGGCGCAGCAGGCGCGAAACCUCUGCAAUAGGCGAAAGCCUGACAGGGUUACUCUGAGUGAUUUCCGUUAAGGAGAUCUUUUGGCACCUCUAAAAAUGGUGCAGAAUAAGGGGUGGGCAAGUCUGGUGUCAGCCGCCGCGGUAAUACCAGCACCCCGAGUGGUCGGGACGUUUAUUGGGCCUAAAGCAUCCGUAGCCGGUUCUACAAGUCUUCCGUUAAAUCCACCUGCUUAACAGACGGGCUGCGGAAGAUACUAUAGAGCUAGGAGGCGGGAGAGGCAAGCGGUACUCGAUGGGUAGGGGUAAAAUCCGUUGAUCCAUUGAAGACCACCAGUGGCGAAGGCGGCUUGCCAGAACGCGCUCGACGGUGAGGGAUGAAAGCUGGGGGAGCAAACCGGAUUAGAUACCCGGGUAGUCCCAGCUGUAAACGAUGCAGACUCGGUGAUGAGUUGGCUUCUCGCCAACUCAGUGCCGCAGGGAAGCCGUUAAGUUUGCCGCCUGGGGAGUACGGUCGCAAGACUGAAACUUAAAGGAAUUGGCGGGGGAGCACCACAAGGGGUGAAGCCUGCGGUUCAAUUGGAGUCAACGCCGGAAAUCUUACCGGGGGCGACAGCAGAAUGAAGGUCAAGCUGAAGACUUUACCAGACAAGCUGAGAGGAGGUGCAUGGCCGUCGCCAGCUCGUGCCGUGAGGUGUCCUGUUAAGUCAGGUAACGAGCGAGACCCCUGCCUCUAGUUGCUACCAUUAUUCUCAGGAGUAGUGGAGCUAAUUAGAGGGACUGCCGUCGCUGAGACGGAGGAAGGAGGGGGCUACGGCAGGUCAGUAUGCCCCGAAACCCUCGGGCCACACGCGGGCUGCAAUGGUAAGGACAAUGAGUAUCGAUUCCGAAAGGAGGAGGCAAUCUCUAAACCUUACCACAGUUAUGAUUGAGGGCUGAAACUCGCCCUCAUGAAUAUGGAAUCCCUAGUAACCGCGUGUCACUAUCGCGCGGUGAAUACGUCCCUGCUCCUUGCACACACCGCCCGUCGCUUCAUCGAAGUUGGUUCUUGGCGAGGUGAUGCCUAAUUGGUACUAUCGAACCUGGGGUCAGCAACGAGGGAGAAGUCGUAACAAGGUGGCCGUAGGGGAACCUGCGGCCGGAUCACCUCCU
rnacentral:rRNA from 1 species